CCUACGGGUGGCAGCAGUGAGGAAUAUUGGUCAAUGGACGCAAGUCUGAACCAGCCAUGCCGCGUGCAGGAAGACGGCUCUAUGAGUUGUAAACUGCUUUUGUACGAGGGUAAACGCAGAUACGCGUCUCUGUCUGACCGUCUCGUACGAAUAAGGAUCGGCUAACUCCGUGCCAGCAGCCGCGGUAAUACGGAGGAUUCAAGCGUUAUCCGGAUUUAUUGGGUUUAAAGGGUGCGUAGGCGGUCGGAUAAGUUAGAGGUGAAAUCCCGAGGCUCAACUUCGGAAUUGCCUCUGAUACUGUUCGGCGAGAGAGUAGUUGCGGUAGGCGGAAUGUAUGGUGUAGCGGUAAAAUGCUGAGAGAUCAUACAGAACACCGAUUGCGAAGGCAGCUUACCAAGCUACUUCUGACGUUGAGGCACGAAAGCGUGGGGAGCAAACAGGAGUAGAUACCCGUGUAGUC
rnacentral:rRNA from 1 species